rnacentral:rRNA from 1 species
CAGUUCGGACUGUAGUCUGCAACCCGACUACACGAAGCCGGAAUCGCUAGUAAUCGCGGAUCAGAAUGCCGCGGUGAAUACGUUCCCGGGUCUUGUACACACCGCCCGUCACACCAUGGGAGUCGGAAAUGCCCGAAGUCAGUGACCCAACCGGAAGGAAGGAGCUGCCGAAGGUGGAGCCGGUAACUGGGGUGAAGUCGUAACAAGGUACC